rnacentral:rRNA from 1 species
ACUCCUACGGGAGGCAGCAGUAGGGAAUCUUCCACAAUGGACGAAAGUCUGAUGGAGCAACGCCGCGUGAGUGAAGAAGGGUUUCGGCUCGUAAAACUCUGUUGUUAAAGAAGAACAUAUCUGAGAGUAACUGUUCAGGUAUUGACGGUAUUUAACCAGAAAGCCACGGCUAACUACGUGCCAGCAGCCGCGGUAAUACGUAGGUGGCAAGCGUUGUCCGGAUUUAUUGGGGCGUAAAGCGAGCGCAGGCGGUUUUUAAGUCUGAUGUGAAAGCCUUCGGCUCAACCGAAGAAGUGCAUCGGAAAUUGGGAAACUUGAGUGCAGAAGAGGACAGUGGAACUCCAUGUGUAGCGGUGAAAUGCGUAGAUAUAUGGAAGAACACCAGUGGCGAAGGCGGCUGUCUGGUCUGUAACUGACGCUGAGGCUCGAAAGUAUGGGUAGCAAACAGGAUUAGAUACCCUGGUAGGAUAGCG